AACGAACGCUGGCGGCAUGCCUAACACAUGCAAGUCGAACGAGACCUUCGGGUCUAGUGGCGCACGGGUGCGUAACGCGAGGGAACCUGCCCUUAGGUUCGGAAUAACUCCCCGAAAGGGGUGCUAAUACCGGGUAAUGUCUUCGGACCAAAGAUUUAUCGCCUUUGGAUGGGCCCGCGUUGGAUUAGCUAGUGGGUAGGGUAAAAGCCUACCAAGGCGACGAUCCAUAGCUGGUCUGAGAGGAUGAUCAGCCACACUGGGACUGAGACACGGCCCAGACUCCUACGGGAGGCAGCAGUGGGGAAUAUUGGACAAUGGGCGAAAGCCUGAUCCAGCAAUGCCGCGUGAGUGAUGAAGGCCUUAGGGUUGUAAAGCUCUUUUACCCGGGAUGAUAAUGACAGUACCGGGAGAAUAAGCUCCGGCUAACUCCGUG
rnacentral:rRNA from 1 species